GCCCCGCGCCGGCCGCGAACCCAAACAGCGGCUCCUGCUGCGCGCGGCCGCGCGUGAUCGCCGCGCCGCCGAGCCCCGCGCGCCCGCCCUCCCGGCCCGGCCCGGCCCCGCCGAGCGAUGCUGCUGCUGGCCGCCGCCUUCCUCGUGGCGUUCGUGCUGCUGCUCUACAUGGUGUCACCGCUCAUCAGCCCCAAGCCCCUCGCCCUGCCCGGGGCGCAUGUGGUGGUUACAGGGGGCUCCAGUGGUAUUGGAAAGUGUAUCGCUAUUGAGUGCUAUAAGCAAGGAGCGUUCAUAACUCUGGUGGCACGGAAUGAGGACAAGUUGCUGCAGGCAAAGAAAGAAAUUGAAAAGCACUCUAUUAAUGAUAAACAGGUGGUGCUUUGUAUAUCCGUUGACGUUUCUCAAGACUACAGCCAAGUAGAGAACGUCAUAAAACAAGCACAGGAGAAACUGGGCCCAGUAGACAUGCUUGUGAACUGUGCAGGAAUGUCACUUUCGGGAAAAUUUGAAGAUCUUGAAGUUAGUACUUUUGAGCGACUCAUGAGCGUCAACUACCUAGGCAGCGUGUACCCCAGCCGCGCCGUGAUCACCACCAUGAAGGAGCGCCGCGUGGGCAGGAUCGUCUUCGUCUCCUCCCAGGCGGGACAGCUGGGGUUAUUCGGCUUCACGGCCUACUCGUCCUCCAAGUUUGCCAUCAGGGGAUUGGCUGAAGCUUUGCAGAUGGAGGUGAAGCCAUACAACGUCUAUGUCACAGUUGCCUACCCGCCAGACACAGACACCCCUGGGUUCGCAGAAGAAAACAAAACCAAGCCUUUGGAGACUCGCCUGAUUUCAGAGACUGUAUCUGUUUGCAAACCAGAGCAAGUGGCCAAACAAAUUGUUAAAGACGCCAUACAAGGGAAUUUUAACAGCUCCAUUGGCUCCGACGGGUACAUGCUGUCGUCCCUGACCUGUGGAAUGGCUCCGGUAACUUCUAUUACUGAAGGGCUCCAGCAGGUGGUCACCAUGGGCCUCUUCCGCACCAUCGCGCUGUUUUACCUCGGAAGCUUCGACAGCAUCGUGCGUCGCUGCAUGAUGCAGAGAGCAAAAUCGGAAAUUGCAGACAAAACUGACUAAUCCGUAUCCCUGGGGAAAAGACUGUUUCUAAAUAACUGAACAGCUUGCUGCUAAAAGGGACCCGGUUUUUGGCCUACAGACACGUUCUGAAGAACACAGAAGACUGAUAUAUAAAAUAACACACCUUAAUAGCCCUGUCUUUAAAUGGGAAAAUUUGGUUUCCAUCGUGGAGAGAUUCCUUGGACAUCUUGGUUUACAAACUUGAGCAUUCUCUAAAUUUGAGCAUUGUAUAUACCAUAAGCAGCAUAUGAUAUCCCUUCUAUAAUUUUUGUAUUUGGAUGUUUAAAAAGGAGAAAAAUAUAUAUUAUGUUCCACUCCUGAUUUUAAGCCCUCGAUUUCCCUCAUUCAACAUAUACUUACUGAGCACGGCAGCCGGGCCCCUGGGGAACCUGCUCUGCGUAAAUAGUCGGUCCCUCCCAGGUGGUGAGUACGUUGCUUCUUUCUUCCCUCCCCGCUUUCAUCUCUCUGAAGGCCCUUACAAGUCUUCCUGGACUUCUUUCUUCAGCUUGGAACCUCUGGAUUUUAUGCCACAAAUGUCUGAGUGUCGGACAAUAUUCUAGGCUGGGAAAGAUACAGUCCCUGUCCUCCAACAAAACUAGCCCAUGGCGGUCACUGUCGUGAGCGCAUCACAUUGAAUUCAUCUCAAUCAUGUGCUGCCCCUCAGCGGUACGCUUCAUAGCCGCCUUCCGCGGAGGCACGGGCACAGAGAGGUUAAGUUACUAGUCCACGGUAGCAACUACUAAGCUAUGGAGCCCUUAUUCAGUUUUUGCCUAUACCCUGUCCUAACCCUCUUCCAGUGGCACAAGGGGGGCUCUGAGGACCGCGCAGGGAGGUCAGGCAUGGUCUCGGGGGGGGGGGGUCUGAAGAUGAAACUGGAGGAAUGAGGAUGAAUUCCUCUGAGAAGGUUCGGUGUGUUUCAGGUAGAAGAGCAGAUGUGCAAAGGCAAAAGGCACGAGAGAUCUUGGUGUAUUCCAGAAAGCACAGAGUUAAUAUGGCUGCAAGAAGGGAACGCAUAAGGAAAGGGGAGGGGGUACCCGGGGGGUAGAUUUGCACCAGAUCAAGCCAUGUAGAGGAGUUGCAAUGUUAGCCUCCGAAGAACUUUGGGCAGAAAUAUAAAAUGGCCAGAUUUGAGUUUUAAAAACAUUAUGGUGCCCCUUGAAAUUCAGGGGUUGCUGAACCCUGAGCCUUGAGUAAAACCAUUGUCGUUAGUUUGGAAGAUCCCAUAUUAGACACAUAUUAUUACGGGUUGAGUUGUGCACCCUCAAAAGAUGUCAUCAGUGUCUUAACCCUCAGUGCCCGUAAAUGUGAUCUUACUUGGAAAUAGGGUCUUUACCAAUAUAACUGAGUUAAGAUGAGGUUAUUCGGUUCCUAAUCCAAUAUGGUUGGCAACCUUACAAGAAGAGAACCCAGAGAGACAUGGAGAAGGCCAAGUGACAACAGAGGCAGAUCAGAGUCAGGCAGGUACAUGCCCAGGCCCCCUAAGGACUGCCAGACACCACCAGAAGCUAGGAAGGGCGAGGAAAGAUCUCUCCCUAGAGCCUUCAGAGGGAGCCUGGCCCAGCUGCACCUUGAUUUUAGACUUCACACCUCCUGAACUGUGGGAAAAUAAUUGUUUCAAGCCACCUGGCUUGUGGUACUUUGUUAUGGAAGCUCUAGGAGAUAAAAACAGUCACCUCCGUUUCUCUAAACAUGUUCAUCAAUAAGUAAUAACCGGGAGACACUGCUCUGUGCCAAAUCACGUACGAAAAUAAAAGUCAUUGCACAGAAGAAUGUCAGUUCCUUGCCUAUUUCCCCUAACACAAUGGUGUUAUCCCGUUGUUUGGGUCUGUGACUGCAUUUUGACCCAGUGAGGGCAGUAGCCAUUUGAAAAAUGUAACUCCCUGUGCUUACUUCAUUUCACUUAUAAUGCCAAGUCAUGAAUUUGAAGGGAAAAGAAUUGCCAGGAGUAUAUUUCCUGCCCUUGCCUUUGUGAACCAGAAGGAAACAGGACUUGCCUGCUAUCAAAUUCACACAGCAGAAUGAUUCACCUGCAGUUUUGGCCUAGCUGCAAAGGUUGUUGCUUAAUUGUUUCAAAUAUUUUUUGAGGUUUAGGGCCCACCGUACAUGAGUUAAGUAGGUUUGGCAGUUAAACCAAGGCCUCUUGGUUUAGAUUUGGUUAAAGUGUUUCCUUGUGAUGACAAGGAUGGUUUGAGAGCACAUAGCGGACAAAUCGUUUGCAAUCAGUCCUAUAGCAGAAGACAGGCUCUGGGGCAUUAAUGCACUGAGAACAGUGUUACUGUUAGUACCGAAUGCUAAUUGGGAAUUAGUAUUAUAAUAUUAUCCUAUAAUAAUGACCAACAACAGAUGCAACCCAUCUGAACGCACAUGAAACUGUUUAGUGUCAAGAGUUCAUAAUAUCUGAGCUGUGUGGAUUAUAUCGCAAUAAAGCUGAAAAUGAUAAUUUAGAAGACAUUUGAAACUGGAAAUUAGUAUUUUGCAUUGCUUGUCUGGGAGAUGUUUUUUAAGCAAUUCCUUUUUAUGCAGCUAUGUGACCUCUUUGUUCUUACCCUCUCUGGUCAGUUCAUUUCUUUUAUGGAUGCAUUCCACUUUAGUUUGUCUAAAUGGCUUGGGUCAUGUUUUAUAUUUUUAACUCACCUUAUCUAUUAGUCAUCAGUUCCCUCUCAGUUAAUGAAUGGGGUUUUUGUAUCCCCAUUUUAAAUAGUAAGACUUACUACAUGCCUAUAUAUAAAACAUGUAUGCCCAGAUGGGAAUAAUGUCCUUUUUGAAUUUCAUAACCCUUGGAAGUGUUUCUAUUUGUGAUGGACGAAGAGAACUUUCUGAAUGAUACUGUUAAACAUCAACCAGUAGGUGGCGAAAAUUGGCAAUAAAAAGCUUUUUGUUUGGCAGACCGGAGAAUAAAGGAAAACACAGGCCUUUCAGGCUCUUGAUACAAUCUCCCUUCCUUGCAUCUUGUUCUUUUCUCUCCCUGGUGCUACCCUACUCCGAGAAUCCAGCCAGGCAAAGCUGCCAGCGGGGUAGUCCAUUGGCUCUGAAAGGUAGAAGUUGUCUUGCGAAGUGAAAAGCCUAUAUAUAGUGCCUCCAGGUGGGAGGGUGUUGGAAGGUCUCUGGCAAGGAUCUGGGAUUCAAACCCAGGACUCCUGGCUCUGGUCAGGUCUCCCUCAACUCCCUCCCCAAUACCCAGAGACAGUUACUCCACACACUUCCUACAAUACCUGCCCUCACACUUGAGGGUGUAAGCUAAUAACCCAAUCUGAAUGGAGGAAUGGUUUCACUCUUUCGAUAUGAAGAGAAUUCAGAACAUUCCUGGGGAAUAUAUAAUCUUAGUCCAGGACUACAACGCAGCCCUGUCCUGAGAACGGCUGGGGAUGGCCAAGAUGCCCACCCCUGAAGGGGUAAGUCUGAGAAAAUCUGUCAAGUGAGGCUCUCUGGGAGCAAAGGAGAGGAAAAAAAAAAAUAAGGAGGCUUUUCUUUCUCUGGGAAUGGGGAAUCCCGUUUCCUUCUGGGGACCCCUUUGCAGAAGUACAAUCUCUUUUCCAGCUCUGUCCUCUCAUUUCCUCACUCCCAUGCUGGCUCACAGAAGCACGAAGGUUUUCAAUUCCUCUGAAGUAAUUUUGGAGGCCCAAGACAAGCUUCUGAGAAGAUCCUUCAACUAUCAUGCUGAGGCAUUAGUAUAGGUCUCUACUCUUUCUGUGAGGACAUAAACCCCAGGUCAGUCUAUACCCAAUGUUCAUCUCCAGGCCAGACCCUGCAUCACCACCGCCCACCCCAGCCCCACCACCACCCAGUGCCAUGUCUCAUGAAAAAGCAGGAAGGAGCAUCUUCCUUCAUUCCUUCUUGCUGGGAUAAGUUUAAACGAGGCACCCAUCCCUACUUGCAAGAGGUUGGCAUGUUGUUUGGUUGCCUAUGAUAAAUGGGAUGGAAAUAAUUUAUGCUUAUUUUGCUCAAGAGCACAUGCUUUGAUUUGAGGCUAGGAACGAGACAAAAUAAAUGGUGUUGGAACACGUUUGUACA